rnacentral:rRNA from 1 species
CCCUUAGAUGUUCUGGGCUGCACGCGCGCUACACUGAUGCGCUCAACGAGUUUAUGACCUUGCCCGGAAGGGUUGGGUAAUCUUCUUAAAACGCAUCGUGAUGGGGAUAGAUUAUUGCAAUUAUUAAUCUUCAACGAGGAAUUCCUAGUAAGCGCGAGUCAUCAGCUAAUGUUGAUUAUGUCCCUGCCCUUUGUACACACCGCCCGUCGCUACUACUGAUUGGGUGUUCAAGUGAGAUGCUUAGACCCUUGUUGCAUGGUUCAUUAUUGUGCUCCGAAAGGAAAAAGUUUCAAGCUUGAGUGUCUAGAGGAAGUAAAAGUCGUAACA